rnacentral:lncRNA from 1 species
UCGCGAGCACUUCCAGAACUGAGUGCUAUUGAGGAUUGUGAGACCUGAGUUGUUUGGAUUGGUUAGGAAAGGAACUUUAGGUGCUAAUGAGACCUAUUAAAGAUAUUGACUGAGAACUGUGAAGCUUUUAUGAUAUGUUAAGUGAAUAUAAAGUGAAUUAUGGAUUGAUUGUAUUUACUUGAAUUAUUAUUGAAUGAUCAAGGAAUUGUUGAAAAUGAAUUGUUAUUAAGCUUGAUGUGAUUUGAUUAUGCUGCAAAUGUUAUUUAACUAAGUUGCAUGAGUCUGAAUUAAGUUGAUGAUGAACUCCAAAUUAUUGGAUGUAUAA